UACGUAGGGGGCAAGCGUUGUCCGGAUUUAUUGGGCGUAAAGAGCGUGUAGGCGGCCUUACAGGUCAGCUGUGAAAACUCGAGGCUCAACCUCGAGACGUCGGUUGAAACCGUAUGGCUAGAGUCCGGAAGAGGAGAGUGGAAUUCCCGGUGUAGCGGUGAAAUGCGCAGAUAUCAGGAGGAACACCGGUGGUGUAGACGGCUUUCUGGACCAUAACUGACGCUGAGACACGAAAGCGUGGGUAGCAAACAGG
rnacentral:rRNA from 1 species